GUUGUUAUUGUUUGCAAUUAUUACCUGGUUUAAUUAUCAUCAAUCUACCUGACGGUUGGUCCGUCGCGUCGUCAGGUUUAUUAGACGACCGUGUCAGCUGGUUCGAUAGCCGGCGAAAUUUUAACAACAAUCAAGCCACAAUAUCAACCUUGCAUACGUGCAGACCCAAACGUAACACAAAAAGAGCGAUUUUAACGAAACAACAAAUUGUAUUCAGUUGGUAAACUACGAUCAUCCGUGACAAUAGUAUUUCUAGUUUAACAAAAGAUGCUAUUUUUGUGUUGUGUUGUGUUGUGGGGCUUUUAGUGACAAUUUAAAUGCAACAUGCACUCUGUUUAUGCAGUUUCUGUUGGCAAUUCCGUUGACGAAUCUUUGCCACGUGGAAAAUCCGCCGAAAAACGUGAUCGAGUAUUUUGUGAACAAAUUUUAUUUAUCACAGACGGCUAUCGCACUUGCGUCACCUUGCACUAUUUCCGUCAAAAUAAAAGAAUACCGCUAUGAACGCCCACGCUUACGUCAUGAAGAAUGAAUCAACGGCCAAGUUGUAAUCCUCAAUACUGAAAACAAUCCCGGAAUUGACUACAUAUAAGUAAUCCUGAAAUUCCGGGAUUAGAAACAAGGACAUGGAUUGAAUUCUUCACCGAAUGUUCAAAAAGAAUUUAGGUAUUAGAUACUUUAAAAUUAUCGAUUCGUUUAAAAUUACUUCAUGCAUACAUAAUCGUUUCAUUAUCUAUUAAAACUAGAACACUAAAUCAUUAAAUUCAAUACAUGCCCUUGAUGAAGAGAUAUAAAAUUCCGCAUGGUGCCAUUUUAAAAACAAUAAAUGUAACUGGGAUAUUUUUUAUAACAAAAUUGGUAAUUCAGUCUCCAUAAAACAGAAGAAAUGGACCAUGAAAACGUUAUCAACCGUCAUAAAACAUAAAAACGAUAAGACCUGGAUCGCGAUUUCGAACUUAUUGGAAUGUGAUUCGCACUAUCGAUCCUGCAUUCAGAUUAAAUUGUCUCGCCACACUUUACUAAAAUCCAGACAAUUCUGUCUUGACCUAAUAGAUUAUUUUCUCUAGAAAAUGGCGGACCACGAUCUAAUGUUGUCGAGAUGUAGUGUGUUAAAACAUAUUAAAUUAGUUCUCAUCAGGAAAUCAAGGGAAAUUUAAUGUUAAUUGCCUAAGUUCAUAGUGCCUGAUAAAAGGUCCUUACAAAGGGUACGUACUUGUCAAACUGGAUGUUAUACGACGAAGCUUUAAGGAUAAUUUUUCAAACAUAUUGUCAGUUACUACAAUGAACAAAAAACAUAUAUAUAUUUAAAAUAUAAGGAUAUGCUAUUGUCACUUACUUAAAAUAUACUUAUAAUGUGUAUCUACGUAUGUUCUCGAUAAAAGAACUUAAAAAAUUGUUUCACUCUUUCAGCUUAUAUAAUUGGUAAUUAUGGCGUUGUUUUCAAGUAUCCAUUCGUUCAAUACCGUUUUAGACUAAAAAUAUAUAAAUAAUUUUAGAAUAAAACACGUUGCUUAUUGUUACACAAUUUUACAUUACGACGCGACGAUAUAAAAUUUUAUUGUUAGAAACACUCGCAGACAGCCACAAUGAUUUGUCUGCUGGUGACACUUAUGAAUAUGUAAUUAUUUUUUCAAUUUUAUUCAGAAAACCUAUAUAGGUAAGGCAAAACGUUCACCCAACAUAGAAAUUGUAAAUUUAUUUAUCGACAAUAUCAUUGUCAAAAACAUUCAUUCAUUGAUUCUCUGAAAAUUGUCAAAAACAUUCGUAAAAGCCUAAUACCGCUUUUAAAAGCUUUAAAUUACAUUAACUGGACUCGCACGUAUGGAUUUAUUACUAUGAAAAUAUGACUGAAUACAGAUUUUCUUGCACCACAUCGCAUUUUUCAAAAGAUGAUUAAUGUAACAGAAUAACCUUAUUGGACACUACAUUCGCCAUUAGUGUAUACUAAUAUCGAGUUAAAAAUCGAACAUAAACCUUCUAUUACAUGCAAUUUCGGAAAAACACUAUGUGGUAGAGGAAAAUUCGUACAAAUACUUUCAGCAAUCUUUUCAUAUAAAUAAUAACGUAAAAUACGACCCCAAAAAUCUGUUAAGGAGUUUUUUCUGUUGAAAAGUUUUUGAGAGUUCGGUUAGUUUUUUUAGCGAACCAGGAGAUAAUUUGAGAUGGACACGGUUGAAAUUGUAUUUCCGUUAGUGUCGAUAAAUAACGGGUAGUUUCCAUGUUCGAUGAACGUUUUGCUUUACCUGUAUGUUGCAGUACAUGUUCACUGGCUCGUACUCUAAUAUUUUGCAAAGCAAUUGAUAGAAUUUAUACUGACAUAUGUAUAUAUAUCCUUUUCAGGCUUACACAACGUGAGUAAUAACGGAAUUCCGCGUUAAAAUUUGUGAAACAUGUGUCUCUAACCGUGUCAGAUAUUUAAUAAGCCGAUGAUUAAUUGCAGAUUGAGACGCUUUAUAGCGAACAUAAUGCUUAACAGACACAAUACAGGUACAUAGAAAGUACAUUUCAAAAGAAAAAAGAGAUCCAAAUCGUUUUUUAAUAUCUUCUUAAUUAGCAAUUUAACCAAAAUAAAUUGACUUGAGGAAGUAUUGAUAAUUUAAAGAUAUAAUAAAUGAAAAGGAAAUUGAAGUAAGUUUGUUUUAUUAAUGCGUUCUGUUAAUGUGUACGAAUAUUUUUCAAACAAUGGAAAAACAUGCAAAUCGUUUUGUUAUGGUUCGCGCCAAUUAGGAAGCCAUAAAACGUGCUAAUUGGAAUUUCUAUCAGGUGCCUAAUUAACAAUUACGAAGAUGCUGUGAAAUUCCAUAAUACUUAAAUGAGACUGAAAAAGUUUUUAAACCAGCUGAAUAAGAUCACAUAAAAUUUUCCGAAGACGCCCUAAUAACAAUAUCAUUCUAACAACAUUUUAGUAUUUCAUCAAGAGGGCCAAAAGAAACACGUGUGUCAAAGGCAUUGCAAAUAAAAUUUGCUCGACAUAUCAACUGCCAACUAGCGUCUAUUUUUGCAUUUGAAAAUAAUAGAUGUCAAGGACGGUCUAACCCGACGUAACAAGCGUAAUUAGAAAAUGUUUCGUUAACAUACGCACAUUGUAUGAUAACACCAAUUCAUACACUCAUACUUGCCCUAUAAGACAAUGCCUUAAACGAAGUCAUUAAAAAAGCUGCAGCUAAGAUACUGAUAGGUAUUUUUUAUCAGUAUUAGUGAUUAAAACUACUGGUUAAAAAUGUUUGUAAAUGUAAAGAACAGACAGUUAGAUAUUUACCAUACAAAACACUAAUAAGAAUAAUGGUAUUAACGACUCAAGCACUCGUUUGAACUGGUUUUCAUUACUAAUUAUUUAGACUUAAAAUAAAGAUGACCACCAAUAUAAUUGUUUUUAUCUCUACUUUUAUAAUAAUAUAAUAAGAUCACAGAUAUCUCUUUAAAACUGAAUCACGAAACCACAAACUUGAAUCCGAAGUGAAAUACUUCAUUGUUUCCACAGUUUUUGCAAAUAUUUGAUAAAAUUUUCAAUAUAUACAAACGAAGCUACAAGCUAGACAGUGCAUGGUAUGUAAUUCUUCAAAAGUUUUUUCUAAUGAAAAUGAAAUUUGCUGAUAAAAAACGCCUCUGUGUAAAAGUAAAUUAAAUACGAAAUUUAAACAUCGGAAUUUAACUGCUGAAUACAAUCUAUUUCUGCAGCACUAACGUCAUUUUGACUGACACAAGCCAGUGCCAAAAUCGAUUGUACAAUAUUCUUACGAGUACGGAAAUAUUGCAUUUUUAUCUCGGCCACAUCUUUCAAUCAAAUACAAAAUAGGCAACGACUAAGACUAGUCUUUUGGCGUAACAAAAUAAGUAAAAUAUUUCAUCAAGUAAACCUUAAGUCAAUCAAUUAUAAUAGUAAUUUGAUAAAGGAUUAAAUAAUUAAAUAUCACGUAAUGAAUGUAAUGACGAAUUAUGAAUAAAGAUGUAUUUAUUUUUAAUAAAGCAAUAAAUUUAAUUUUGUGACAUUAGUAUCGGUUCCCCUUCAAUAUUAAGAUAACCAAGGCGGGGGUUAUCAAUGCUAAUACAUAUGUAAUAAAAUCGCACAACGAGGUUUCAUACCUACGCAAAUUGCACUUCUUUAUCACAAUUAAAAGACAAUCUUUAUGAAGUGAUAAUCCAGUAUCAGACUAGAAGACGCAUUUGCAAAAUCUUAAUUAUUUUUAAAACAAGACAUUCAAGAAACCUUUGUUACUAAUCUAUCUGCUAUAAAGCACAAUUCUCAAAAUACAUAUUCCAUAUUCUUUCAAUUUCAGGACACUAUACACAAAUUCAUGAAAACAUUGGGAUAUAUGUACAAGACACACAUUAAUUGUCGCAAAGAACUUUGUCCAUUCUUUGCAAUUUUAAACAUUUUCCUUUACUGUUUUUC